rnacentral:rRNA from 1 species
UGAGUAACCUGCCCUUAACUCUGGGAUAAGCCUGGGAAACUGGGUCUAAUACCGGAUAUGACUCCUCAUCGCAUGGUGGGGGGUGGAAAGCUUUAUUGUGGUUUUGGAUGGACUCGCGGCCUAUCAGCUUAUUGGUGAGGUAAUGGCUUACCAAGGCGACGACGGGUAGCCGGCCUGAGAGGGUGACCGGCCACACUGGGACUGAGACACGGCCCAGACUCCUACGGGAGGCAG